GAGAGGGAGAGAGCGGCUGACGGUGACUUAAGUGUCGCUGAGGAAAGUCCUCCCACCCACCGGUCACGCAGCCGUACACAAGUACGGGUGGCGAGAGUCACGGCUAUGGCACAGAAACGACACGGCCUGUUUUUAGCGAUGAUGCGAUUGAGCCGUAAGGCAA
rnacentral:RNase_P_RNA from 1 species